UCCAUGAUUAGUCUUGAUCAUAAAAGAAAGAAAAUAAUCAGUAAAUCACAAGUCCCUGAAAAUAGUGCCAAAAUUUGAUGGGUGUCGAAUCCACCAAAAAUAAAUUCCUAAUUAACCGAUAAAACAAUAUUGUAAUAGUGGUAAGAAGGGUCGAAUCCAUAAAGAAUUGGAAACCAAUUUCUUUCUUGACUAAUGCAUACAAAGCAAACAGGGGGGGUUUUUAUAGAAUUCAAUACGCAAAAUAUAACGUUCUGAUAACUAAUAAUUCUUUAUUCCU
rnacentral:lncRNA from 1 species